rnacentral:rRNA from 1 species
GACGAACGCUGGCGGCGUGCUUAACACAUGCAAGUCGAACGGUAAGGCCCUUCGGGGUACACGAGUGGCGAACGGGUGAGUAACACGUGGGUGAUCUGCCCUGCACUUCGGGAUAAGCCUGGGAAACUGGGUCUAAUACCGGAUAGGACCACUGCCUGCAUGGGUGGUGGUGGAAAGCUUUUGCGGUGUGGGAUGGGCCCGCGGCCUAUCAGCUUGUUGGUGGGGUGAUGGCCUACCAAGGCGACGACGGGUAGCCGGCCUGAGAGGGUGACCGGCCACACUGGGACUGAGAUACGGCCCAGACUCCUACGGGAGGCAGCAGUGGGGAAUAUUGCACAAUGGGCGCAAGCCUGAUGCAGCGACGCCGCGUGAGGGAUGACGGCCUUCGGGUUGUAAACCUCUUUCAGCACCGACGAAGCGCAAGUGGCGGUAGGUGCAGAAGAAGGACCGGCCAACUACGUGCCAGCAGCAGCCGCCG